rnacentral:rRNA from 1 species
CAGUCGCCACGGUAACACAGAGGGUGCGAGCGUUAAUCGGAUUUACUGGGCGUAAAGCGUGCGUAGGCGGCUUUUUAAGUCGGAUGUGAAAUCCCUGAGCUUAACUUAGGAAUUGCAUUUGAUACUGGGAAGCUAGAGUAUGGGAGAGGAUGGUAGAAUUCCAGGUGUAGCGGUGAAAUGCGUAGAGAUCUGGAGGAAUACCGAUGGCGAAGGCAGCCAUCUGGCCUAAUACUGACGCUGAGGUACGAAAGCAUGGGGAGCAAACAGGAUUAGAUACCCCUGUAGUCCCUGUCUCUUAUAC